AUCGAGAUGGCGCAUCUGAAGCGUGCGGGGCUCAUAACCCCGAGGUCCCAGGAUCGAAACCUGGUCUCGAUA
rnacentral:tRNA from 1 species